UACAGAGGGUGCAAGCGUUGUUCGGAAUUAUUGGGCGUAAAGGGCGCGUAGGCGGUGCUGUAAGUCUGUAGUGAAAUCUCUGGGCUCAACUCAGAGUCUGCUAUAGAAACUGCAGUGCUGGAGUGUGGGAGAGGUGUGUGGAACUCCGAGUGUAGAGGUGAAAUUCGUAGAUAUUCGGAAGAACACCAGUGGCGAAGGCGACACACUGGCUCACUACUGACGCUGAGGCGCGAAAGCGUGGGGAGCAAACAGG
rnacentral:rRNA from 1 species